UACGGAGGGUGCGAGCGUUGUCCGGAAUCACUGGGCGUAAAGGGCGCGUAGGUGGCCUGUGGAAGUCUGCGGUGAAAGCCCGGCGCUCAACGCCGGGUCGGCCGUGGAUACUCUCGGGCUUGAGCUUACUAGAGGCAGAUGGAAUUCCGGGUGUAGCGGUGGAAUGCGUAGAGAUCCGGAAGAACACCGGUGGCGAAGGCGGUCUGCUGGGGUAAUGCUGACACUGAGGAGCGAAAGCGUGGGGAGCGAACAGG
rnacentral:rRNA from 1 species